rnacentral:rRNA from 1 species
UGGGGAAUAUUGGACAAUGGGCGCAAGCCUGAUCCAGCCAUGCCGCGUGAGUGAUGAAGGCCCUAGGGUUGUAAAGCUCUUUCACCGGUGAAGAUAAUGACGGUAACCGGAGAAGAAGCCCCGGCUAACUUCGUGCCAGCAGCCGCGGUAAUACGAAGGGGGCUAGCGUUGUUCGGAUUUACUGGGCGUAAAGCGCACGUAGGCGGACUUUUAAGUCAGGGGUGAAAUCCCGGGGCUCAACCCCGGAACUGCCUUUGAUACUGGAAGUCUUGAGUAUGGUAGAGGUGAGUGUAAUUACGAGUGUAGAGGUGAAAUUCGUAAAUAUUCGGAGGAACACCAGUGGCGAAGGCGGCUCACUGGACCAUUACUGACGCUGAGGUGCGAAAGCGUGGGGAGCAAACAGG